rnacentral:rRNA from 1 species
AUUGAACGCUGGCGGCAGGCUUAACACAUGCAAGUCGAACGGUAGCAGGAGAAAGCUUGCUUUCUUGCUUUCGAGUGGCGGGCGGGUGUGUCAUGCUUGUGAAUCUGGUUUAUGGAGGGGGAUAACGCCGGGAAACUGUCCCUAUUACCGCUUAUUAUCUGAAGAUGAUAGUUCGGGACCGCAAGGCCGCAUGCCAUAAGCUUGUCCCAAGUGGGAUUAGGUAGUUGGUGGGGUAAAGGCCUACCAAGCCUGCGAUCUCUAGCUGGUCUGAGAGGAUGGCCAGCCACACUGGAACUGAGACACGGUCCAGACUCCUACGGGAGGCAGCAGUGGGGAAUAUUGCGCAAAGGGGGGAAGCCUGACGCAGCCAUGCCGCGUGAAUGAAGAAGGCCUUCGGGUUGUAAAGUUCUUUUGGUAUGGAGGAAGGAAUGUAUGUUAAUAGCAGAAAUUAUUGACGGUAAAUACAGAAGAAGCAACGGCUAACUCCGUG